rnacentral:rRNA from 1 species
UACGAAGGGGGCUAGCGUUGCUCGGAAUCACUGGGCGUAAAGGGUGCGUAGGCGGGGCUUUAAGUCAGGGGUGAAAUCCUGGAGCUCAACUCCAGAACUGCCUUUGAUACUGAGGAUCUUGAGUCCGGGAGAGGUGAGUGGAACUGCGAGUGUAGAGGCGAAAUUCGUAGAUAUUCGCAAGAACACCAGUGGCGAAGGCGGCUCACUGGCCCGGUACUGACGCUGAGGCACGAAAGCGUGGGGAGCAAACAGG